rnacentral:rRNA from 1 species
CGUGUAGGCGGCAAGGCGUGUCAAGUGUGAAAUCUCCGGGCCCAACCCGGAAAGUGCGCUUGAAACUACCAUGCUUUGAGUCCGGGAGGGGGAAUCGGAAUACAGGGUGUAGCGGUGAAAUGCGUUGAUAUCCUGUAGAACACCGGAGGCGAAGGCGGAUUCCUUGAACGGUACUGACGCUGAGGCGCGAAAGUCGGGGGAGCAAACAA